AUUGAACGCUGGCGGCAGGCCUAACACAUGCAAGUCGAGCGAACGAAGGGGGGUUACUCCUGGAUGCAGCGGCGGCCGGGUGGGUAAUGCCUAGGAGUCUGGCUGGUCGUGGGGGAUCACGUCCGGAAACGGGAGCUGAUCUCGCAUAGGACCAGAGGGCGAAAGUGGGGGGUCUUCCGUCUUAACGGUUUGUGAUGUGACUUAUUGGGAUUAGCUAGUUGGUGGGGUUAAGGCGUAACAAGGCGUCUUACGUAACCUGGCCUGAGAGGAUGAUCCGAUAGACGGGAACUGAGACACGGUCCAGACUCCGACGGUGGGCAGCAGUGGGGAAUAUUGCGCGAUGGGCGAAAGCCUGAUCCAGCCAUGCCGCGUGAGUGAUGAAGGUCUUCGGAUUGUAAAACACUGUAAGUAGGGAGGAAGGGAAGUACUUUAAUCCCUGGCGAUUUUGACGGUACCAACAGAAGAAGCACCGGCUAACUUCGUG
rnacentral:rRNA from 1 species